UGAGGCGCCUGGUCCUGGGGACCUCUUUCCACUCUUUACUCUCAAGAUAGGAGGAUGGGUCUGGGGGAUUGUUUUUGGUUUUCUGGUUUUGUUUUACUCUGGUUUGGUCGGUUUUGUAUUUUUCUAUUUUUCCUUUUUUUCCCUUUUUUCUUUUUUGAUUUUUCUUUCCCGUUAUUCUCCCAGCCAAAAGCUACCUUCGACCCUUUUGAUUUGAUGUAGCAAAGAGUGUGUGUCCAGAUUAUCUGAAAUUGACACUGAAGAAGGCCUCUCAGCCUCCCAACCUCCCGGCCUCUCAAGAGCUGGCUGGGUGUGGGAAAAACUGAAAUCGUCCUGGCCGGCUGACUUUGAACUCUGACUUCAUCUCCUCUCAGCCGGUCUUCAACAUCCUUUUGGUUCCUGAGCGUCAGCCCUGCCCUGAUGCACCUGUUCCUGAGCCCCCUUCCUGGGGAACCCUCGCCAGGCAUUCUCUCCUUACCCUUCCAAUUCAGAGAUCUUGACCUGCAAGAGCGGACAACAACGUGACUCAGGCUGGGACCACUGAGCCUACCUAGGUCACAGGGAGGAAAAAAGGGACCGCAGAACAGCAGAGAUAGGACCUCCCAACCCUGCGCCAGCUGGCAGCUCCCUGCCAGAGAAGCAGAGACAUCCCUCCUUCCUCCCUUCCCCCAUAAGAGCCAAAGGCUCGAAGGCCGAACCUCCCGCCGCCGUCAGCCCACGGGGGCAGCUCUCAGAGAGCCAGGGAGGAGUUGUGAUGAGGGGA
rnacentral:antisense_RNA from 1 species